UGAGGAAUAUUGCGCAAUGGACGAAAGUCUGACGCAGCCAUGCCGCGUGAAGGACGAAGGCCCUAUGGGUUGUAAACUUCUUUUGUAUGGGAAAAAACCCUUUGAUUCUUCAGAGGCUGAUGGUACCAUAAGAAUAAGCACCGGCUAACUCCGUGCCAGCAGCCGCGGUAAUACGGAGGGUGCAAGCGUUAUCCGGAUUUAUUGGGUUUAAAGGGUCCGUAGGCGGACUAUUAAGUCAGCGGUGAAAGCCCACAGCUCAACUGUGGAACUGCCGUUGAUACUGGUAGUCUUGAGUACAAGUGAAGUUGGCGGAAUGUGUGGUGUAGCGGUGAAAUGCUUAGAUAUCACACAGAACACCAAUUGCGAAGGCAGCUGGCUAACUUGUAACUGACGCUGAGGGACGAAAGUGUGGGGAUCAAACAG
rnacentral:rRNA from 1 species